AUCGACUGUAAGACAAAAUUAAAUUAUACUUUUCCAAUAGAAAAGACAAAAUGGAAUUUUUUUGCCAUUGUCCUUUAAACUAUGUUAUUUAUAGAUUAGUAAAUUGUAUUGAAUGUAAUUAUAUCAUACCAGAAACUGAUUGCGUUGAGCAUAUGAUGCAUGAUUUAGGGUGUAUUAUCAAGUAUAUGCUCAGGGUACAGUGUUACAAGUGUUACGCUAUCUUUAUUUAGGUUUAGGGGUAGGGUUAGUGUGUGUAACACCAUGUUACACUAUGUAAUACGGUGGGUUAGGGUUAGUGUGUGUAACACGGUGGGUUAGGGUUAGUGUGUGUAAUACUAUGUAACACUGUCAACACUCUGUAGCACUGUGUAACACUAUGUAACAAUGUGUAACACUAUGUAACACUAUGUAUUAAUAUGUAACAUGGUUUAACACUGUGUAACACUUGUAACAGUGUUACAACUGAGUGCCAUAAUAAAGCCACCCUAAAUCGUGCAUGGUAUUAUAUGAUUGAGUAUUCAAGUACUCAAGUACUAAGUUGAGCUAGAUGACACAUUCAUUAAGCUAAUUGACACAUAUUGUUCUUAGUUGCAUAAUUGCAUUUUUUGUAAACAUUGCUUAUAACUUCAAGUGAAAUAAAUGCUAUGUUUACUUGGAUAACAACUGAAUUUGUUGUUUUGAUCCAUUAUUCUAAACGGAA